rnacentral:lncRNA from 1 species
GCAAUCUGAAAAGGUAGAACCAAGGCAAAUGUGGGCAGCAAUACCCAGAAGUUGGGUACUGAGCCUGUUAGGGAGCAUUUUUUUCAGGGGAGUGAAGUAAAUAAUGAGGUGUAGAGAGCAGCGAGAAUAAGAAGCCAAAUCACAGACUGCAAAAUCACACAGCAUCUGUCCUUUCUCCCUGGUCAGAGAGAGUAUGAUCUUUAAAAGGUUAAAACCUGUAGGUACAAUCCCAAGUAUUCUGCUGCUAAUGACACUGGUUUUGUGGACAUCCCUUCACGGGAGAAGGACCUGGCGAAGGCAGUGGCAACUGUGGGGCCCAUCUCUGUUGCUGUUGGUGCAAGCCAUGUCUUCUUCCAGUUCUAUAAAAAAGGUAAGCAUCAUGCUGGUGGUUGGCUACAGCUAUGAAGGAGCAGACUCAGAUAACAAUAAAUAUUGGCUGGUGAAGAACAGGUAUAAAUUGCCAGAAAGACUUAUAGUUGAAAUUCAAAAGGGAAUCCUUUUUUGCAAUCAGUAUUUACAUACCACAAGCCCUUAAUCACAUUUCUGAAAUCCCAGAAGUCUUUUUCCCCCUUAGGCAGAACACAGAAUAUUAAUGAUUGAUUGUAACAUCAAGAUACUGUCACAAGCAUGCUGGGGAUAUUAAUAUGGUAUUUGUCCCAUUGCAUGUCUAAAUUCUGAACAUUUUCUUAAUUCUGAAGUAGAUCGGCUGGAAAGACAUCCUAUCCUUUUUCUGUUUCUGAUUUUGCAGUUCUGUGAAAGGUCACAGUUUUGGGUCUGGGAUUGAAGCGAUAUGCAGGUUUUGACUCAAGAAUUUACAAGGGAUGAACAGGAACAUCAGCAUCUCCUGAUUCUUUAUGUUAAGGCUGUGGCUUCUGGCACACUGUGGCUUCUGGCUCACUGUUCAAAUUAAUAACCCAGUGUGCUUUAUCCUUCCUCUGAAAUGGAAAACCUGCUCUCCUUUCAGCUGGGGUAAAAACUGGGGCAUGGAUGGCUACAUAAAGAUGGCCAAAGACCGGAGGAACAACUGUGGAAUUGCCACAGCAGCCAGCUACCCCACUGUGUGAGCUGAUGGAUGGUGAUGAGGAAGAACUUGACUGAGGAUGGCACAUCCAAAGGAGGAAUUUAUCUUCAAUCUACCAGCACCUGCUGUGUUGAAUGCACACUUCAAUCAUUGAAGAUCCAAGUGUGAGUGGAA